GCGCCAGUUACAAUUUAAUUUCGACGAUAAUUUCAAUAGCGAUUCACCUCUUUUUAGCGAAAAUCUUGACGUAGGAAAAAUCAAAAUUCUAGCUUCACUGGAAUCUGGAAUGGAGGAAUACUUCAGUGGGUUCAGACGGACCUAUCUGGAGACUGCAGUAACGAACAUUCAUAAAGCAGAAAUUAUUGGAGGUGUUAAGCACAAAUAUCAACUCUCUCCUUCUGGACUCAAAUUAGUGAGUAUAUCCCCCCCCCCUCUACUCUCGUUUGAAUUGUUUUUGGCAAAAGGGAUUCAUAUGGUUUUUAUGGCUGAAGGAACUUACCUCUCUUUUCCGCAGUUUUCCUCAUUUCAGUCAAAAAAGGUAACAGUAGAAAAAGGUAACAGUAGAAAAAAGUAACAGUUUGUAGUUCUGGAGCUUAACCUGGAUCUCAUUCCUAUGACAGAAAAAUCAGACAGACGAUUGUGUUAUCUAACAAGUACUGUUGACACUUCCGAAUAUCGUGUCUUGCUUAAUUUGUGGGUUGGGCUUUUUUUACAGAUAGUUUCACUUUCUAAUGGUAGAUGGCAGGACGAAAUGUUUACUCGCCUUUCAAAAACAAAAACAAAAAGUUCAAAGGCAAAUGUAAAACGAAUGACAAGCGCCAGCAUGAUACCGCCAGUAACAAUUCUAACGUUUUUCAAUGUGAUUCACCUCUAUUGAAUAAAAAAAAUGUAAGAAAAAAUCAAAAGAUCUCAACAGGGCACAUUCUAGCUUUACAUUGAAAUGGAGGAAUAUUUCAGUGGCUCAGACAGUGACAGGUAUAUAGUUUUAUACUUUUAUGAUAGUCCAUUUUGCAAAUCAAAUUAAAGUGUCAUAUUGAACCAUUCAACAAUGACAGAGAACACAAGUUGUGUUUACUUGUGAUGAUUUCGUUCUCAUUCUCCUGUCUGAAGACGGCAGUAAUGAAUAUUUAUGCAGCAGUUAAAUGAUUGGAGGUGUUAAGCACAAAUAAUGACUCUCUGGACUCAAAUUCAUGAGUAUACCCACCUUCUACUCUUGUUUGAAGUGAUUGUUGAUUCUUAUUUGGGUGAAAGGGAUUCAUAUGGUUUUUAUAGCUGAAGGAACUUACCUCUCUUUUCAGUAGUUUUCCUCACUACAACAGUUAGUGUAGUUCUGGAGCUUAAUACCUGUGGAUCUCGUUCCUGUGACAGAAAAAUGGUCUUCAUGCUCUACUUGUUCAAAUGGUUUCUGACUGGAAGUAAUCAUUAAAUGAAGCACGAUUUUCGACCACGCGAUGGGAGAAUUUUGCCUCGAAUUUUGCUGCUUUUGCAGAAUUAAAAACUUCUUCAGAAAAUUUUUCCUCGUGUUUGUCGUUAGUUCGUUACUUCACUCAACAGUCUACACAAUGUGGCAAGCAAUCCAUCCAGGACUAAUAAGAAGAUCUGUAAGCCUGACUGGAUGUUGGCUAUUGGAAGUCUAUGGCCCUAGAUUUGACGGAUCAGCUAAUCAUGAAAAUGUUCGAUGCUAGAACGGGAUACUGUGCACCUACAAGUCUUUCCCAGGUUGGUCGCGCACUAUCUCGUCUAUGCUUUGCGAAGAAUCGCACCGUCGCUUUUUCUACUGAGGAAAGUCGACUCUUAUCGACUGUCUAUAAGAGUCGACUUGUUCAUUAGAGUGCGCCUUUUUGAAUGCUAGCUUGUAUUUUUGUACUGAUUAUUGUAUUUAAUCGUUUGAAUGUAGGGUUUGAAUGUAAAACGUUUGUAGAAUAAAUAUAUUUUAAAUUUUCGUGUGUAUUUUUGAUGAACGGUUGAUUUUAAAGGUAAAUUUAAUAAAGGUGAUACUCUCACUUGGUGCUGGUUGCUGGACUAG